AUUCCUUAUCUUUUUACUUCCUUAGAGGUUGAGCAGCUCAACCACGAUAGGCUGGAGCUAAAUCAGUACAAGCAUCUACCUCGCCUACAUUGUGCUUGUGGGUCUAUCUUUGGAAAACUAGUUAUCUGACCGUGAACGAUUUCUAAGCCUCUUGGAGGAGAGAGUCAAAUGUACAAUUCUGAGCGAUAGAAUUCUCAGUGUAGAGUGCUACAAUAAAUUGGAUUACAUAUUAGAGGUGACUCAGCCUGUGGCUCUAGGAACAAGAUCAAAUUGGAUGAGAUGAAAGUCUGACUUGCCAUAGCAAGUGUUUGUGGUUGUGCUGUGCCCAAGCAAAAAGUACCUGCCUCAUUGUGCUACAAUAGCCUUAUGUAAGUUGGUGUUAAUCCAAUUUGGACAUGUUCAUUAUACCUUGGCAUAGG
rnacentral:lncRNA from 1 species